GCGGAUAUGGUCAGAAUGGSUAAA
rnacentral:tRNA from 1 species